rnacentral:rRNA from 1 species
UACGUAGGUGGCAAGCGUUAUCCGGAUUAAUUGGGCGUAAAGGGAACGCAGGCGGUCUUUUAAGUCUGAUGUGAAAGCCUUCGGCUUAACCGGAGUAGUGCAUUGGAAACUGGGAGACUUGAGUGCAGAAGAGGAGAGUGGAACUCCAUGUGUAGCGGUGAAAUGCGUAGAUAUAUGGAAGAACAUCAGUGGCGAAAGCGGCUCUCUGGUCUGUAACUGACGCUGAGGUUCGAAAGCGUGGGUAGCAAACAGG